CCCUUCGGGGUGUGACUGCGUACCUUUUGUAUAAUGGGUCAGCGACUUAUAUUCUGUAGCAAGGUUAACCGUAUAGGGGAGCCGCAGGGAAACCGAGUCUUAACCGGGCGUUAAGUUGCAGGGUAUAGACCCGAAACCCGGUGAUCUAGCCAUGGGCAGGUUGAAGGUUGGGUAACACUAACUGGAGGACCGAACCGACUAAUGUUGAAAAAUUAGCGGAUGACCUGUGGCUGGGGGUGAAAGGCCAAUCAAACCGGGAGAUAGCUGGUUCUCCCCGAAAGCUAUUUAGGUAGCGCCUCGUGAAUUCAUCUCCGGGGGUAGAGCACUGUUUCGGCUAGGGGGCCAUCCCGGCUUACCAACCCGAUGCAAACUGCGAAUACCGGAGAAUGUUAUCACGGGAGACACACGGCGGGUGCUAACGUCCGUCGUGAAGAGGGAAACAACCCAGACCGCCAGCUAAGGUCCCAAAGUCAUGGUUAAGUGGGAAACGAUGUGGGAAGGCCCAGACAGCCAGGAUGUUGGCUUAGAAGCAGCCAUCAUUUAAAGAAAGCGUAAUAGCUCACUGGUCGAGUCGGCCUGCGCGGAAGAUGUAACGGGGCUAAACCAUGCACCGAAGCUGCGGCAGCGACGCUGAUGCGUUGUUGGGUAGGGGAGCGUUCUGUAAGCCUGCGAAGGUGGCCUGUGAGGGUUGCUGGAGGUAUCAGAAGUGCGAAUGCUGACAUAAGUAACGAUAAAGCGGGUGAAAAGCCCGCUCGCCGGAAGACCAAGGGUUCCUGUCCAACGUUAAUCGGGGCAGGGUGAGUCGACCCCUAAGGCGAGGCCGAAAGGCGUAGUCGAUGGGAAACGGGUUAAUAUUCCCGUACUUGGUGUUACUGCGAAGGGGGGACGGAGAAGGCUAUGUUGGCCGGGCGACGGUUGUCCCGGUUUAAGCGUGUAGGUGUGUGUUCCAGGUAAAUCCGGUUCACUUUAACACUGAGGCGUGACGACGAGGCACUACGGUGCUGAAGCAACAAAUGCCCUGCUUCCAGGAAAAGCCUCUAAGCAUCAGGUAACAUCAAAUCGUACCCCAAACCGACACAGGUGGUCAGGUAGAGAAUACCAAGGCGCUUGAGAGAACUCGGGUGAAGGAACUAGGCAAAAUGGUGCCGUAACUUCGGGAGAAGGCACGCUGACAC
rnacentral:rRNA from 1 species